GCGCAGCAGCUAAUGCUACGCGGCAGUUGGGUGUAUCGUGUUUUUUCCAGGCUACUGUUCAUCACUCAGACCGUAAUUUUAUUGUUCGUAUAGAAUUUAGGUAUCUGUUUAAAAAACAUGUCCGCAGACGGACCCGGAGGAGACUCUACAGAUGCGAGGCGGGACGAUACACGACCGUUAGCGGGGUCUUUGUCUGCCCCUUGUCCCAUGGACGUUGAUGCCAAGCCCUCUUCUCACAGCUUCAGAUACAGUCUCAAUUUCCCCUCCAUCGGCCAGUGCAUCAUCAUUAACAACAAGAACUUUGAUAGAAGCACAGGCAUGAACCAACGAAACGGCACAGACGUCGAUGCAGGCAAUGCAGGGAAAGUGUUUUCAAAGUUGGGCUAUAAAGUGCAGGUUUAUAACGACCAGUCGGUGGAUCAGAUGAAAAAGGUUUUAACUGCUGUGUCAAAGGAAGAUCACAGUCGCUCAGCCUCAUUUGUCUGCGUUCUCCUGAGUCACGGAGAUGAGGGCGUGUUCUUCGGCACUGAUGGCUCAAUAGAGCUCAGGUACCUAACCUCACUUUUUCGAGGUGAUCGCUGUAAAUCACUGGUGGGAAAGCCCAAGCUCUUCUUCAUCCAGGCUUGCAGAGGCACUGAUCUGGAUGCAGGCAUUGAAACAGACAGCGCAGACGAUGGUACAACUAAGAUCCCCGUGGAAGCUGACUUCCUCUACGCCUUUUCCACAGCUCCAGGAUAUUACUCAUGGAGGAAUACUAUGACUGGAUCGUGGUUCAUCCAGUCGCUAUGUGACAUGAUCAGUAAAUAUGGAAAAGAAUUGGAGCUCCAGCACAUCAUGACGCGAGUCAACCACAAGGUGGCAGUAGAGUUUGAGUCUGUCUCUAAUUCACCAGAUUUUCAUGCAAAGAAACAAAUCCCCUGCAUUGUGUCAAUGCUGACCAAAGAGAUGUAUUUUUUCUCUUAAUGUUGGCUUUACAUGAGAAAAGUUGAGCCUGGCAGAGGAAGGGCUUGGAGAAGUUCUGUAAACCACAUGUCAUGUAAUGUUGCAGUGUCAUUUUACUGGUCUGGCAUUAUCGGGUUUUCACUGUGGGUUGUGUGUAUAUAUAUUGUAU